AAUUUUUUUUUUUUUUUUUUGAAUCACAGAUAUGGUCAAAGCAACAUUGGGGGAUGUUAUUCUUGAAUUCAUGUUUGUAUAUAUUUCCAAACGCUAGUCCAUAGUCUCAGUUAAAAGUGCCAGAAAUCCAAACUGGCUUCUGAGCUCGAAUCCAUUCCUCUUUGGAAGGCAAUGAAGAAUUUAGGGACAGUGAGUUGUCUUUAUAAAGAAAAACAAAACAAAAAACAAAAGCAAAGCAGUCUGUAAAAAGUAUGACACCCACACAGGGGAAGUCUGUAAUUUCCAUUCUUUAAUUAGUGACAAGACAAGAAAGUUCAAGUGCAGAAACUGCUGCAUUUGGACGAGGACUUUCCAUGGUGGCUACAGACUGUUACCAAAUUAUAAACUGAGAAUCUAUUUUAAGUCUACAGAUCUUGAGUGUGGAAGAUUGUAAGAUGGGAUAAACACAAAAUUAAGACAAAUAUUCCAUAGAAUUUUGGGCAAAAUAUGAGGCUGCAGCUUGGACACUUGGUCCCCAGUCCUCAGAGAAUCAGUAGAUUCAGCUUCUAGGAGCUGAUAAUGAGCAGAAUGGGGGCUGUGGCAUACCAGAGUGAUCAAGAGGGAAGAUGUUGAGUAGUCAACAUAAAUUUUAUCCCACGGUGUUCCUGUAAGACAUGAGCCACAGUAAACCCUGAGUUGGGGGUUUCUGUCAGUAAAGUGUACCACAUAGUAGGUCUUAGUGGGCAAAUAGAAGGUAGUCUUUCAAUUCCUAGUAGCCCUCAACUGGUUUCCCAUCCUGCUGUGGGAAUUAGUCCCAGAACAGUUUAUUUUAUUUGGGUUGUUUUGUGAUUAAAGACAAUUUCUAGGUCUUUCUCAGCUGCUAUAAAUGUCACAUUUGUUCAAAAGUUAAGCCUUACUGAGAGAAAAACAAAAGUUCCCUCCAUUGACAGGUUGAAUUUGUACAUCUGAGUGUUUUCAGGGAAUAGGUUUGUUCCUUUAAGUCCUGUAAGGCUCUAGGGCCACUGAUUUCUGUGGCUACAUUAGCUUAACAGACAUGGGGAAACUGUAAGAGAAAUCCUUUUCUCUGAGUUUUUGGUGAAGCAAACUUAUUCCUGGAAAUUUCCUGAUAAGCCUGUGAAGUGAAGAUUUAAUUAUUUUUUAAAGAGAUGUGUGUACUUUCCUUCUCAGUCAGGUUAUCUGCCUUAUAGAAAAGCACAGUUUUCCCCCACCCCCUAACUGUUUACUUUUUAGAAUGGGUGUUCCUUGCUCUUGCCUUGCUUGAUCACAGUGGAGUAAUCUCAGUAAUGGUUGUUUAUUUGAAAACCAACAACAAGGAGCCCCCACUAAACAGCAAUAACACAAACUAGAUGGGCUGAUGUGUGGGGUUUUAUCUUAUUUGUAUCUGGAUGACUUUCCAUGGUCUAGAAAUUCCUCAAAGUUCUUAACUAACAAGUAUUAGGCUGGAAAUUUCUACUGAUAUGCGAAUGGGAGUUUUGUUUGCACACAGGAAAAGAUGUAGGUAAAGUAAUUCCUCGAAAACAUUGUUUUUCUUUCAAAGGAAACAAAAAUACUCCACGGUGAAAUUUUCCUUAAAAAAAAAACAAAACAAAACAAUAAAACAGCACCU
rnacentral:lncRNA from 1 species